UACGGGGGGGAGCAAGCGUUAUUCGGAAUUAUUGGGCGUAAAGGGCGCGUAGGCGGCUUUGCAAGUGACGGGUGAAAUCCCUCGGCUUAACCGAGGAACUGCCUGUCAAACUGCAUGGCUUGAGACCGGGGAGAGGUGAGUGGAAUUCCCAGUGUAGCGGUGAAAAUGCGCAGAUAUCAGGAAGAACACCCGUGGCGAAGGCGGCUUUCUGGGACGGUACUGACGCUGAGACGCGAAAAGCGUGGGGGAGCGAACAGG
rnacentral:rRNA from 1 species